UGCCUUUUGUCCCACAAAAUCAUCCAUCUUGUUUUAUUUUUAGACUUUAUUUUUAUAUUUAACUAAGAAUUAAAUUCCUGCUAGGUGAGCUACAGUAGCGUGCCUUUGAAGAUCAGGUGCUUAAUCUUACUGCUGUAGAGACACUAAUGUCAUUUAUGUGAGUGCCACCUAUUCAGAGAUUUAGUUGCACAAUAUGGUUUGAUCAGCAGGUUUUUGGCACAACUUUGUGUUUGCUUAGUUAAUAUGCUAACCAAAAUGGGUGCAAAGUGAGCAAACCCCAAACAUGGACAGUGGCUCAGACAACUUUCUGGCUGUGUGCUUAAGAAAAUGGAGGAGUGGAGUCCCAUUUGGCAGGUGCUGUUGGAUGGAGGAGCUCUUUUAUUUCCAGAUUCCCUUCCUCAUACUAACUUCAGUUGUUUAUGGGGCUCACUGGGAGGGUAUUGCAUUUCAGAUGAUGGAUGAACAGAUAGCAUGAGGCUUUAAAGGAAAAACUUUCAUUUCACAUUUGUGAAUAUAGUAUGUUUUUCAAUAAGUUUAAGUGUUAUAGGCAUAUGCAUAUGCAGAUAUUACAUUUUCUUGCCUGUGGUUACUGGACCCAUCCAAUAAAGCAGAUACGUGGAGGUAUGGAUGGCAUCCUUGGCCAGUAGGCAAAGUCUUCAGUUAGCCAAGGCUUCUGUUUUUCCUCUUAGUGAUGGAAUGUAAGUCUCUGGGGUAAUAAUGAAGGCAACCUUACCAGCCCCAUGUGGUAAGGCCCCUGCCACUGGCCUGAUUAAUCUCAGUAAUAAUGGAAGGCAGUUUGGCAGUAAUGCUUUCGAGUCUGUUGUAAUUAAGAGAAUCUGUAAUUUACCUUUCUCCUUCUUCCCCAGAAAUUCAUAUUUUUAGUCACAGAAACAGCAUGGUAAAGUAUUACUCAGUUGUGCCCUGCUAUCUUUCAGCUCAUGCCUCAGGGCCCUCUUACCUUCUCUCUGGCCUUUCUGAGUGGUACUGUGAGGGCUAUAGGAUGACUCUGACUUGAGAAAGAAAGAAACCGGAGGAAUAGGAGACAUGGCAUUUUUAGCAGAUCUGAGGAAAGCACAGUACCAUGAUGGCAGUAAGAGGAGGAACAGGCAAAGCUUCUGUGAAGAAGCUUUCAUCUUUGAACACUGAGCAAGGAAUUGUGCCUCUGAAAGCUGCCUUCAGAGCUACAUGGAGCUAACUAAGCACAGGUAGUGCUCUCCAGAAGUCAUUGCUGCAGUGAGCACUGUCUGAUUCCAGGUGUGCCAGGAGGUGUGCUGCCCUUGGUCUGCUGAUUGGCUUCUCAUUGCUGUCCCAGGAGAGACAUCCUCAAGUGUUCGUUUUGUUAAUCAUCAGUAAUUAACUGAUAAUUGAACAGGUCACACAAGCAAUCUCACUGUAACAGUAAAGGUAGUAUCAUACCUCCAUCUCAUCAUACCUUCCCUUCCUGGGCCUAUCCUUUCCCCCAGUUUGAGAACUACUGUCCCCUUGUAGUCACAAUGCUAGCGGAAAUUGCAAGUCUUGCUCCAUCUGUAGUUUUUUUGGUUUUGUUUGUUUGUUGCAUGUGCUAGGAUUAAAUGCACACACCACCA